GACGGAGGAUGCAAGUGUUAUCCGGAAUCACUGGGCGUAAAGCGUCUGUAGGUGGUCAAAUAAGUCAACUGUUAAAUCUUGAGGCUCAACCUCAAAAUCGCAGUCGAAACUAUUAGACUAGAGUAUAGUAGGGGUAAAGGGAAUUUCCAGUGGAGCGGUGAAAUGCGUAGAUAUUGGAAAGAACACCGAUGGCGAAGGCACUUUACUGGGCUAUUACUAACACUCAGGGACGAAAGCUAGGGUAGCAAAUGGG
rnacentral:rRNA from 1 species